AUGGCUCCUACUGAGGCUGAGGCUGAUGUAGAGGAGGGAGAAGCGAAGAAGAAGAAGAGGGAAAGGAAAGCAGCCGGAGCUGCUUUCACGUGGAUUCAAACUCACUUUGCGACGUGCCCUCCGGAUGCCAGUGAUGAUGUGAUCCAGACACAUGCUCGUGUCUACAUGUGGUAUGUUGUGUCGAGGACUUUGUUUCCUGACUCCACUGGCAAGAACGCUCCAUGGAUGUGGCUGAAGGCGUUGACCGUCUUCGAUAGCAAAUGGAGCUGGGGUUCAGCGACUCUUGCCUACUUGUACCGACAGGUAGUUGGUCUGUUUUGUGAUCAACUCAUUUCUUCAUUAGCAAUGCAAGCUUGCUGUCAAGUUAACAUUGUUUUUCUUUCAUAUGCAGCUGGACGAUGCGUGUUGCAGGAUCACAGAUAG
rnacentral:rRNA from 1 species